GAGCACGCGCGUGUGGCAUAUCAAUAAGCGGAGGAAAAGAAACUAACAAGGAUUCCCCUAGUAACGGCGAGUGAAGCGGGAAGAGCUCAAAUUUGAAAUCUUAAAGGGUUUCCCUUUACGAAUUGUAGUUUAAAGAAGUGUUUUCUGUUGGAGUUUCGGUAAAAGUUCUUUGGAAUAGGACAUCAUAGAGGGUGAGAAUCCCGUAUUUGACCGUUACUUUCCAGCUGUGUGAUACACUUUCAAAGAGUCGGAUUGUUUGGGAAUGCAGUCCAAAAUGGGUGGUAAAUUUCAUCUAAAGCUAAAUAUUGGCGAGAGACCGAUAGCGAACAAGUACCGUGAGGGAAAGAUGAAAAGAACUUUGAAAAGAGAGUUAAACAGUACGUGAAAUUGUCAAAAGGGAAGCGUUUGACACCAGUGUUGUUUAGUUGAAAAUCAAUUAAAUAUUUUUCGAUUUUAAGUAGUAUUGACCUUAUCAGCUUGCUGCUUUCUUUUCAGGAAAUUAUUUAAUGCACUUUUCAGUUAACAAGUCAACAUCAAUUUCUUUUGUUGUAAAAAGGUAAGAGGAAGGUGGCUUGCGCUUCGGCUCAAGUGUUUAUAGCCUUUUACCCCUGCAAUCGGAGAGAUUGAGGUCUGCAGCGUAGAUCCUUCGGGGUUAGAUACAUUUGUGCUAAGCUAUAGCCUUGUAUAGACAACUUGUUGACUAUGCUCAGUCAUGUAGCUUACUCGCUUAUGCUAUUUUACCUACGCUUAGGAUGUUGAUGUGAUACUGCGAGCA
rnacentral:rRNA from 1 species